rnacentral:miRNA from 1 species
AUCCAAGGAUGGUUGAGCAUUAUU